UGGCUUUGACAGCUGAGACACUAAAAUUAGAACAGAUAUUAUCUUGGCUCUUGUACCAGGAUGACAUGCAAAUUCAUGAGGCAUCCUAUAUUUUU
rnacentral:snRNA from 1 species